UUUUUGGAGAGUUUGAUCCUGGCUCAGGACGAACGCUGGCGGCGUGCCUAAUACAUGCAAGUCGAGCGAACU
rnacentral:ncRNA from 2 species